AUGUGAAUUGUGAACACUGAGGCAGUCAGACCAGCCCUCAAGAGAACCACCUCACUUGGAUACAGUACUUCAGGGACUACCACCCACUCCCCAGUUCAUGUCGCUUUGGGGAAUGCAAAACACUGGGUCUGCCUUUGUGGUAGCUAACGUCCUACACUCAGAACUUUGUGUUUCUGGACAAUCUCAGGUUCUCAGAACUGAAACAUUCAGUUAUGUCUACCAAAAAAAAAAAAAAAAAAAAUGGAGCCUAAAGAUGUUUUAAUUCCACUUCUUCCCCUACACUUUUAUACCUCUUUCCCAGAACUUGGUUCAUCCUGAAAUCCUUCCCUGAAUUUAUUAGUUGCCAAGCAUAUGGGCUGAUGAAGACUGUCGGACUUGUGCAUUCUAGAAUCUGUGAGUGCCUCCACCAUAUACCCAGAAAUGUUGCAAUGCAGGAACUCAUUAGCUGGUCAGCAACCGUUGUGGAUAUUCCAAAGAGCAGAGCGCUAACCCAGAAUCUAAAAUCUCGUAAUCACAGAGAUACCGAUUCGAGAUUGCUGUUUAUGAACAAUAUGUUAUUGUCACAACUUUAUUUCUUUUCCCAGCCAGGUGUUUCACUAAAUAUCCCCAUCUGUAAGCUCAUAGAAGUCAUCAAAUCAACACGGUUACUGCAGCACCUGGGGGAGAGGCGCUGUGCAGCCUUGAGAAGAAGGGCUUUGCUGUUCAUUGGGAGCGGCACUCCCACAUCCUCACGCUGAGGCUCCGCUGUCCUGGUGUGGUCACAAUAAGAGUUGGGUUAUGUGAUUUAUACAGAAUUGUUGCACAUGGAACACGGGCUUCCAGUGGCUAAAGUGACCCCGCACGUGUGUGCAGGUGCCUGUAUCCUUCCAAAUAAGCUUACAUUCUCUGCACCAUGUUAAAGCCAGAAGACGACCGCGAGUCAAGGCCAUCUGGUCUGAGCGAUACGCCGAGGUUCAUUAUUGACUCCAAAGAGGCUGCUCACAAACUGACAAUCAGCUUACCAAAGAUAAAAUCACGAGUUGGCGGAAGGAGGUUUACCUUGUAUCCACAAUAAGAAACGCGUGUGACCCAAGUGGGAAAAGGCACCCAGGUCGUUACGGAACUAGUGCUGCAAU